GACGAACGCUGGCGGCGUGCUAAACACAUGCAAGUCGAACGGUGAAGCGCCUUCCUUUUUGGUGGGUGUGGAUGAGUGGCGAACGGGUGAGUAACACGUGAGUAACCUGCCCCCUUCUUCUGGAUAACCGCAUGAAAGUGUGGCUAAUACGGGAUAUUCUGGGUCUGUCGCAUGAUGGGUCUGGGAAAGAUAUUGUUUCGGUGGGGGAUGGGCUCGCGGCCUAUCAGCUUGUUGGUGGGGUGAUGGCCUACCAAGGCGGUGACGGGUAGCCGGCCUGAGAGGGUGGACGGUCACACUGGGACUGAGACACGGACCAGACUCCUACGGGAGGCAGCAGUGGGGAAUAUUGCACAAUGGGCGCAAGCCUGAUGCAGCGACGCCGCGUGAGGGAUGGAGGCCUUCGGGUUGUGAACCUCUUUCGCCAGUGAAGCAGGCCUGCCUCGUUUGUGGGUGGGUUGACGGUAGCUGGAUAAGAAGCGCCGGCUAACUACGUG
rnacentral:rRNA from 1 species